CGGCCUCCGCCUGUUGCGCGCGACGCUUUCCCCGCCCCCAGGUCGACGGCGGAAAAAUCCGCCUUAAAGGGCCAGAGAGCCGGUAGACCGGCGUGCGUGAGGGCAUGCGGGCGGCCCGCGCCGGGGUCACGCGUUUCCGGUCCCCCGCCUUCCCAGGACAAGCGCUCCCUGAGCGCCGGCGGCACGGAGUGGCGGGUGUGGGGCAGGGGCCUGGAACGGGGAUGCCGCGGCGGGGCGGAGGCGGUGCUCCCUCCGCGUGUGUCCCCAAGGUAUUUGGGCCCCCAAGUCAGUUUCUCUGGCUGCCGAGGGCAGAGCUGGCCGGGAGAGCUAGGUGCGGAGGCCGUGGGUGCCAUGGCGACCGGGAACCCGGAAGCCACCUGCCUGGCGUUGGACAGGCGCUGGGUCCACUUGUAUGUGUGCUCGUUCUCGCGCGCGCGCCUUUUUUGUGUGUGUUUUUCACUGUGUGCUUGCUUGUGUUUAGUUUUAACGGUGGUCAGUUAGGAGGUAUAGGAGAAAACUCCCGCCGAAGAAUACGUGGUCACACCCAUCUGUAUUCGUGUCACCAAAGUGAAGUCCGAAUUGGCGUAAUCGCGCGAUCCGCGCCAGUAGAGUGGGAAACGUGACCAAGCCCUUCGCGGAGCCCGCACGUGGCUCCCGGGACUGGAUUGUUAUACGGGGCGGGGCGCGCUGUCGGCCCCAGUCACGGACUGGGUCUCCCUCCUCCCGGGGCAGAAGGUGAGCGCACCUGCCCUGGGGACACCUGUUCUUGAGGUGAGAGCUGCUGAGAGUGUGGCAUCUGGCCGCAGGCCCCUGGGAAGCGCGCGGCUGGAGUGAACAUCCAAGAAUGUGACCGCGUUGGGGGACGGGGCGGGGGGCUCAUCCUUCUCCCAGGAAGGUUUCUUUUUCCUCUCGGACCUUGACCCGCGACCCCACCGGCCGCCGCUCUCUCUUGGCGAUUCUCAGCUCCGCCUGCACGUUAGGAUGAACUGGAGCGCUUUUCAACUCCUCAGAGCUGGACGCUGCCACCGGAAAGGCUCAGCUGCUGCGCUGUGGGGCCCGAGCAUUCCUGUUUUUCAGAGCUUCGCGGGUGAUUCCUGCCGCCAGCCACCGGUUCCAUUAUGGCUCAGCGUGGCACUGCUCCCAGCCCACAGACUGAAGCAGACACCUAAUUACAAUUGCUACCUAACCACGACCUUCUUAUCUCAUUGAGGACUCUGAGAGGCAAGUUUCUCCCUAUUCUUUUAUAGAAACAUAAAAUGCCAGCAAAGCAUGAUUUCUACCCAAAAGAGCGCUAAACAGAGCUUGCAGAUGUUUCAGGCCUCUCCCCUGAUACUUCAGGGGAGAAGGGCACACAGACCUUGGCAUACCUUGCUUCAAAAACAGGCAAUAGCAAACAGCGUGUUCAUUCCACCUACUUCCCAGAAGGGAAGAUCCUUAUGUAAUGGGUCAGAUGGGCCUUUGGUCCCAUGUGGAGAGUCUCCCUGAGGGACUUUUAUAUUACUGUAUCAUGGGGGUUUUGUGGGUAUUCGUUUCUGCAUGUCAAGCACUUCACAGUACACAUUCACAUGGAAAUUACUAAUUAAAAGUAGCAGUGAUUAUAACAUUUAGAGUGCUGUUUUCAUCAAUGGUUUCAUUUUGCAUAGGACACCUCCUUUGCUGAAACCAUAGAUUCUAAUUUGCUCUGUCAAAGUUAUCACUAGAAAAAUAAGAUAUUCUUAGCAUGUAAACUAUAGGAAAUUUCCUCUAUUACUCUUCUCCAUUUGAUUUAAUGGACUAUAUGUUACUUUCAACAUAUAAGUUGGGACAUCACAAAAUAAACUGAACCUAUGGCAAAUUUGUUUCUGCAGAAAUCUGUGUUCUUUCUAGUUACCCAAAAACUCAAGAGACCAAGGGGGGAAAGGAAUUAUUUGAAUGGUGGAUAGUGCAUAAGACUUAGGUAUGGUUGCAGUAAUUUAGCAUAAUCCAUUGUAAGGUGAUGGUCUGGACGAACUUCAUAACAGUGAAGAAGUUAGCUUUGAGGUUUUUUUUCUCUAAUUGAAGGAAUGCCGCUCACUACACCUCCCCCAUAUUGUUAUUUAUUUAUUUAUUUUAAUUUUUAAUUUUUUGGCCUCACCGUGCGGCAUGUGGGAUCUUAGUUCCCCAUCCAGGGAUCAAACCUGCGCUCCCUGCAUUGGAAGCACAGAGUCUUAACCGCUGGACCACCAGGGAAGUCCCUUCCCCAUAUUUUUAGAUUAAUGUCUUUACCAGAGAAGUAAAACACACUGGGAUUACAUAUCCUUGUCUAGUAAGAAGUCUGACUACUCCAAGACCACCAUGUGGUGAGGGAUGUCUAGCCAGACCCAGAUGUUCCAGCCUUCGCAGACCAGGCACCUGACGUAGGAGUGAAGAAGCCACUGUGGACAUUCCAGCCUCAGGAGACGUGACAUGGAGAGGAGCCCAGCCAACAGCCAGGACAGACACUCCAGCUGUGUGGCCCUGUGUGAGCCAUCUUGGCCAUGUCCAGUUGCUAGAUGCACUCCCGCUGAGGCCCCAGCUGUCCUGGAAAAGGGAUGAGUGGUCCCCACUGUGCCCUGCCUCACCCAUAAAAUUGUGAGUGUUAGAAAAUGACUGUUGUUUAAAAAUGCUGCAGGGGAACAGAAACUAGAAGCAGAGGCAUAAAAGAGAAUAGAGAAGACUGAAAAAUAAAAAAUAAUUAUAACAGUUUUCAAAUUGUGAUUGUUGGUGCUCUCAAUUCAACUUUUUCAUUCAUUUAUCUGUUCAUUCAAGAAAAAUGUAUCGAGACCACCGCAAGCUAGGUAUUAUACUUAGUGCCAGGGAUACCAAAAAGCUGAAUAAAAUAGCUCUGUCCUCAGGGGAGUGGCUAGCUUAAUGAGGGUGUCAAACAAUCGCCACACAAUGUGAUACAAGGCUGCUUUACAGAAGGAACUCAUGCACUGAAGAUGUAGAAUCUCACAGCCUUGAGGGAGUCAGAGAAUCAGUGCCCAGGAGGACAUGCUUGAGUUAAGCCUCAAAGAAUGAGUAGAGGUUUACCAGAUGGCCAAGGUGGGACAGCGCAAACCAAUUGCAAAGAACAGGGUAGACUCAUUUUGAACAUUGGCUUCAGCUGCGUCUGUGGUCUCAGCUUUUCUCUGCCUCUCCUGGGCAAAGCAUUGAUUGCAUAAACAAAGUAUUAUUUUCAGAGGAGUAUUUGAUUUUAUCUACGUAGUAAGUACAACUGGAAUGAAACAACUCAUGGGGUGUAUGGCAUUACUCAACCUAGGCUCAUCAAAUGAGCACCCUACAGAGGCCAGGUCUAGUCGCUAGAAGGGACAAGGCCUUACCCGCCCCCCAAAUGUAACCUAAGUCGUUGGGUUUUUCUCCAAGUGUUCUUUCUAUUCAAAUAUAACUCUUAAGGCAAGUUCCCUGGCCCCUACCUCCAUCCAGUUUGCUGUCCUAAUCCCUUCUGAUAGAAAAGUUCUAGAGGUACUUCAGGGUGGAUGCCAUGCUAUGAGUAUAAAAAUCGAUUUGUCUCCAGAACAGGACAAUAGGGCCAUCAUGAGAAAAAAUUCAUGUCCUAAAGUCUAUGAUCUUUGUUUCUAGAAGGCAAACCUGGUUAAAAAGACAUCUUCAAACUUUUCCGUGCUGUCAAGUUUAAUGAAACUCCUCCUUCUAAUAUCAACUUCAUUUGAGGAAGCUGCUGUCAAAAAGGCUACUAGGAGAUACUGAGGGGAACACGUUAAAUCAUUGCAAGAAAAUGGUUCUAACUUCAGUAAGGCAACUUUAAGAGAAUAAAACUGAAAUAUCUUAAAUGUACCAAGAUGUCACACAAGGGAAACAAAUGGAAAUAUGGAAAUGCUGGGAGGAAAGGCACAUUGGCAUGAUUAAGAAAAAUACAAUUGAAAGCAUCUAAUGUGUUUUUUUUUAAACACUCUGCCUUGUUCUAAGUGGAUUUGGCAGUGAGUUAUUUCCUGGGCAAGUGUAGAGGGGAGCUCUCUUAUGAAACUAGUUAAGUGCAGACCACAUGCUUUUACAGUCUUUGGAGCUGGGAGUAGAGCUGGCAUCUGCUUUAGAAAACCAGGAGAGAAAGGCACUUCCACCCCCACUUGGAGGUGAUUGAAGGAAGCACUAACAGUGGGAUGAGAAAGAUUUUAGAUUUCCCGUAACACUUAGACAAAUGGAAGUAAAUAAACCAUUAAAUGGCAGAGAAAAAUAACCGUCCCAAGAAGGCAAAAGGAAACCCCUAGUCUCUCUUAAAACUGCAGCCUUUUUCCUAGAACUUGUCUCAGAAAGUUUGUCUCUGAUGUUUGCUUUGGAAUUGUAGCCACAGGGGACGUUUGGGGCCAGAACUGACCUGUCCAGUGAGCAUUAAUUGCCCUGAUGGUAUGGUAAACUAACACCUUUUCGGGUUUUUUUUAGAGCAUUAUUUCAACUAAAUUCGCAUUUUCAUCUCAACGGACUUACUUGGCAGAAAGAAACCUAGAUGUUGUGAGAAGAGAGAAGGUGGGAGAAGAAUUCAGAAGGAGUAGAAAAAGACACCUAGAAGAGACACUGGGUAGUUUACUACAAUGGUACUGACUAUACCAGUACCAUUGAAUGCUCUACUUACUAAAAAAUCCGGAUUAUAAUGUUCUGAAGUUGGGAAUGAGAGAAGUCAAGUUGUUCCACAUCAAAUCAGGUAUAAUAGUUAUUCUUAACUUUUUUUGUUUACAUACAUCAUUGAGAAUAUGAUGAUAAGGGUAGACUCUAUGUCCGGAAAAAAUGUACAUAUUACUUACACACAGAAUCCUCUUCUAUAAGAACUAGUCAUAAUACUCAAGAUAGAAUCCAAUUAGUUACAACACACAAAUAUAUAAUCCUGUUCACUUGACCAUCAUAGACUUUCUUGCAUCUAACCUAGUUUCAUUCUAGAGUUUAAGCCUCUCUCCACUUUUUCUGUCCUCUUAGCUUAAGACAAGAUCAUUACAGAACUCCUUGUAUAAAAUUUUCAUAUGUGCUUGCAAAGGGCUAUGAAAUUUUAUCAUGAUCAUUCUUGAAGUUGAAACUUCUCUAAUCUUUUCUUACAGAUUGUUCGUUACAGAGAGUGCUUUCAAUAUCCAGUUUCAAUAUCUAGUUCUUCCUUCUGCAUUAGUCACUCAGCUAUAUGAUUACAUUUUCUGAGCCUCCCUUGCAGCUCUGUGUGGCCAUGUGACUAAGCUUUAAACCAAUGAUAUGUAAGCACUGUACUAUGUGGAUCUUCUGAAAAAUCUCCCUUCUCCUCCUUCACACUACUGUCUGGAAUGAAGUCACAAUAGAUGGAGACCAAUAACCAUCCUGGGCCAUGAGUUUGAGAUGUGAUGGAGAAGACUGUCUGUUGACUCCCCUAUUAGAAGAUAAAUUUCAUGAGAACAGGGACCUUGUUUCUCUUGGUCAAAGCAACAUUCUCUGAACCUAAAAAGUGUCGCCUGUGGUAAGGGCUCGGGUAUUGAACAGCUACUAAAUGAAUAAGAUGAAUGAAUGAAGGAGUUUACUCCAGAACCAUGUAAAACACUAAUCAUAAAGUUCUCCCAGGGAAUGUUCAGCCAUCAGUAGGCAUAUGCAAGGUGUCAGAUUCUAUCACAGAAUCAAACUCUUGCUUAAUUCAAACCACAUUACUUCUCUUUGCUUCCUUUUGCUCUCCCAGACUUGCCGCUGUCAUAAAAGGAUACAGUUUUUUCUUACUGCCCUCCAAUGUUCUCUUAAAACAAAAUAUUUUCAAAUCUAUUUUCAUAACGAUGCUUCCUAGUAUUUUUUUCUGCUUAGCAAGUUAAAAAUUCUUUAAUUUUCAAGGUCACACCUACCUAUUUUUGUAUGCGUCUGCUGUUAAAUGCAGACACUAUUUUGAAACGAUCUUAGGCGUUGUCUCAAGUCUACAAGAAUCAUCCAAAAUGGUAUCUAAUGACAUUCCUAGGACUUCAGACAAUAUUAUUAUUGUCAUGGAAUGUAGUCACUAGGUCCUAAGGAUUUAACAAGAUGUUGUUUACUGAAACUGAACUUCAUUGAAUCCUUUCCCAUUCCACCGUGGUUUCCCACAUUUCAAUCUGUUGCCUGUUUUUGUCCCCAAACCUUACUUUUGUCCCCAAAUCUUUUAAACAACUAAAUUAAAUAUUAAUCAUCCUUGCUUCCCUGAUAUUCGAGGUGACCUUUUCCUCCUGGUAUCCUUUUAAUAAAGAAGAGUA